AGAGUUCGAUCCUGGCUCAGGACGAACGCUGGCGGCGUGCCUAAUACAUGCAAGUAGAACGCUGAAGAGAGGAGCUUGCUCUUCUUGGAUGAGUUGCGAACGGGUGAGUAACGCGUAGGUAACCUGCCUUGUAGCGGGGGAUAACUAUUGGAAACGAUAGCUAAUACCGCAUAACAAUGGAUGACACAUGUCAUUUAUUUGAAAGGGGCAAUUGCUCCACUACAAGAUGGACCUGCGUUGUAUUAGCUAGUAGGUGAGGUAACGGCUCACCUAGGCGACGAUACAUAGCCGACCUGAGAGGGUGAUCGGCCACACUGGGACUGAGACACGGCCCAGACUCCUACGGGAGGCAGCAGUAGGGAAUCUUCGGCAAUGGGGGCAACCCUGACCGAGCAACGCCGCGUGAGUGAAGAAGGUUUUCGGAUCGUAAAGCUCUGUUGUAAGUCAAGAACGAGUGUGAGAGUGGAAAGUUCACACUGUGACGGUAGCUUACCAGAAAGGGACGGCUAACUACGUGCCAGCAGCCGCGGUAAUACGUAGGUCCCGAGCGUUGUCCGGAUUUAUUGGGCGUAAAGCGAGCGCAGGCGGUUUGAUAAGUCUGAAGUUAAAGGCUGUGGCUCAACCAUAGUUCGCUUUGGAAACUGUCAAACUUGAGUGCAGAAGGGGAGAGUGGAAUUCCAUGUGUAGCGGUGAAAUGCGUAGAUAUAUGGAGGAACACCGGUGGCGAAAGCGGCUCUCUGGUCUGUAACUGACGCUGAGGCUCGAAAGCGUGGGGAGCGAACAGGAUUAGAUACCCUGGUAGUCCACGCCGUAAACGAUGAGUGCUAGGUGUUGGAUCCUUUCCGGGAUUCAGUGCCGCAGCUAACGCAUUAAGCACUCCGCCUGGGGAGUACGACCGCAAGGUUGAAACUCAAAGGAAUUGACGGGGGCCCGCACAAGCGGUGGAGCAUGUGGUUUAAUUCGAAGCAGCGCGAAGAACCUUACCAAGUCUUGACAUCCUUCUGACCGGUACUUAAUAGUACCUUCUCUUCGGAGCAGGAGUGACAGGUGGUGCAUGGUUGUCGUCAGCUCGUGUCGUGAGAUGUUGGGUUAAGUCCCGCAACGAGCGCAACCCUUAUCUUUAGUAGCCAGCGGUCAGGCCGGGCACUCUAGAGAGACUGCCAGGGAUAACCUGGAGGAAGGCGGGGAUGACGUCAAAUCAUCAUGCCCCUUAUGACUUGGGCUACACACGUGCUACAAUGGCGUAAACAAAGGGAAGCAAAGCUGUGAAGCCGAGCAAAUCUCAAAAAUAACGUCUCAGUUCGGACUGUAGUCUGCAACCCGACUACACGAAGCUGGAAUCGCUAGUAAUCGCAGAUCAGAAUGCUGCGGUGAAUACGUUCCCGGGUCUUGUACACACCGCCCGUCA
rnacentral:rRNA from 1 species